GACGAACGCUGGCGGCGUGCCUAAUACAUGCAAGUUGAGCGAUGAAGAUUGGUGCUUGCACCAAUUUGAAGAGCAGCGAACGGGUGAGUAACGCGUGGGGAAUCUGCCUUUGAGCGGGGGACAACAUUUGGAAACGAAUGCUAAUACCGCAUAAUAACUUUAAACAUAAGUUUUAAGUUUGAAAGAUGCAAUUGCAUCACUCAAAGAUGAUCCCGCGUUGUAUUAGCUAGUUGGUGAGGUAAAGGCUCACCAAGGCGAUGAUACAUAGCCGACCUGAGAGGGUGAUCGGCCACAUUGGGAAUGAGACACGGCCCAAACUCCUACGGGAGGCAGCAGUAGGGAAUCUUCGGCAAUGGACGAAAGUCUGACCGAGCAACGCCGCGUGAGUGAAGAAGGUUUUCGGAUCGUAAAACUCUGUUGGUAGAGAAGAACGUUGGUGAGAGUGGAAAGCUCAUCAAGUGACGGUAACUACCCAGAAAGGGACGGCUAACUACGUG
rnacentral:rRNA from 1 species